rnacentral:lncRNA from 1 species
CCAACUUCAGCUUUUGUGGUGGGGUUUUUUGUUUUUGUUUUUUGUAUUAAUGCGAACAUGCAGUUGUAUAUAGUUCCUGCCGCCACAUUACCUGUGCCAUGUGCCCUCCUCCAUGUUUACUAUGCGAGGAGUUAUGGUGUUAUACCCUACCCUAUAGUAAUAGUUGUUUUAUAAAUUUGCAUAAUACUGGUGGUAAGAAUAACACAAUUGUCCAUGAAAAUCCCAAUGAUACUAAUAACAACACCAAUAGCAC